rnacentral:rRNA from 1 species
UACGUAGGGUCCGAGCGUUGUCCGGAAUUAUUGGGCGUAAAGGGCUCGUAGGCGGUUCGUCACGUCGGGAGUGAAAACUCGGAGCUCAACUCCGAGCCUGCUUCCGAUACGGGCAGACUAGGGAGAUGAGCAGGGGAGAGCGGAACUCCUGGUGUAGCGGUGGAAUGCGCAGAUAUCAGGAAGAACACCGGUGGCGAAGGCGGCUCUCUGGGCCUUACCUGACGCUGAGGAGCGAAAGCGUGGUAGCGAACAGG